rnacentral:rRNA from 1 species
GAUGAACGCUGUCUACAGGCUUAACACAUGCAAGUCGAGGGGAAACGACGGGGCAGCUUGCUUCCCCGGGCGUCGACCGGCGCACGGGUGAGUAACGCGUACCCAACCUGCCUCUGACUGAGGGAUAACCCGCCGAAAGUCGGCCUAAUACCGCAUGGCAUCGUCUGCGGGCGUCCAACGCCGAUUAAAGAUUUCAUCGGUCAGGGACGGGGAGGCGUGUGAUUAGCUUGUGGGCGGGUUAACGGCCCACCAGGGCUACGAUCAGUAGGGGUUCUGAGGUGAGGGGCCCCGACAGUGGGACUGGGACACGGGCCAAACUGCUACGGGAGGAAGCAGUGAGGAAUAUUGGUGAGUGGGCGGGAGCAAGAUCCAGCCAAGCAGCGUGCAGGAUGGCGGCCACAUGGGUUGUAGACUGCUGUUAUGCGGGGAUAAAGUGAGGGACGUGUCCUACAUUGCAGGUACCGCAUGAAUAAAGACCGGCUAAUUCCGUG